UACGUAGGUGGCGAGCGUUGUCCGGAUUUACUGGGCGUAAAGAGCGCGCAGGCGGUCGUACAAGUCGCGUGUGAAAGCCCCCGGCUCAACUGGGGAGGGUCACGCGAUACUGUUCGACUCGAAGGCAGGAGAGGGUAGUGGAAUUCCCGGUGUAGUGGUGAAAUGCGCAGAUAUCAGGAGGAACACCGGUGGCGAAGGCGGUUCUCUGGGCAUGUCCUGACGCUGAGGAGCGAAAGCCAGGGGAGCGAACGGG
rnacentral:rRNA from 1 species